GAUGAACGCUGGCGGCGUGCCUAAUACAUGCAAGUCGAGCGAACGGACGAGAAGCUUGCUUCUCUGAUGUUAGCGGCGGACGGGUGAGUAACACGUGGAUAACCUACCUAUAAGACUGGGAUAACUUCGGGAAACCGGAGCUAAUACCGGAUGAUAUUUUGAACCGCAUGGUUCAAAAGUGAAAGACGGUCUUGCUGUCACUUAUAGAUGGAUCCGCGCUGCAUUAGCUAGUUGGUAAGGUAACGGCUUACCAAGGCAACGAUGCAUAGCCGACCUGAGAGGGGGACCGGCCACACUGGAACUGGGACCCGGCCCAGACCCCUACGGGGGGCAGGAGGAGGGAAUCUUCCGCAAGGGGCGAAAGCCUGACGGGGCAACGCCGGGUGAGUUAGGAAGGUUUUCGGAUCGUAAAACUCUUUUAUUGGGGAAGAAAAUAUGUGUAAGUAACUGGGCACCUUUUGACGGUACCUAAGCAAAAAGCCACGGCUAACUACGG
rnacentral:rRNA from 1 species